GCUCAGUGCCCAUCCCUGGGUUUCAUCUCUAGUACUUAAAAAAAAAAAAAAAUACAGUACACAUUGUAAGUGCAGUGUUGUGUAGCAAAUCUCAGGAAUUGAAUCAUCUUGCAUAACUGAAACUUUACACCUGUGGCUAGACUUUGGAUUUGCUGAAUGGAAGGUCAGCUUUACAGCGAGGUUACUGAGGGCAGGGGAGGAACUCUGUGUUCCUCUGUUCCAGAGGGCAAACCUGAUUAUGUAAGCAUUUUCCUGGGGGUUUUCCUCGCUCGUUCCCUCAGAGGAGGCUGCCCUGACCUCGGCCCUACAGCCUGAGGUUGACAGCACAGGAGCUGAGGCUUCGGGGUUCAGGGCUGCCCAGCUCCAACACCUCAGGGCCAAGUGCCACCUGCAGUGCAGCAGCCCUCGGAAUCAUCCUAUUGUGGCUGUGAUUCCUAGCCGUGGCCAACAGGUGGCAGUGCUGUCCGUGCCAUGAGACAGCUCACGCUUCCACAGCCUGGUUUCUGGUCUCGGAUUCCAGCCAUCCCAGCAGUACGCAGCACCACAGAAAGAGGCCAGGCACUGCCUGGCUCCACCCACCCCCAACAAUCCUCAUCUGCCUUCAGCUGGAAAGCACUGACACAUCUGAGGCAGCAGGCAGGUCAGCAGCGAGGCCAUUAAGCUGAGAAAACACCAAGUUACAGCGCAGUCUCCUGCUCACGCCAGGUGUCCUGACAAGCAAUUCUCGCCUUGCGGGUGAGUGGCACCUCUAUAAACCCUCUGACAGUUUAGGAGACAAACUCCGCCAUCAAUCAGAAUGUAGCUAUCAGGUUCACUUACAGCCUGCACCCCAGAGCCUGCCAACCCCCCUCUCCCAAGUACAUACUGCUCAGCAGCCAGCUUCACAUCCUCUGCUUAGCCUGGUCCUGCCCUGCCUUGCCUUGCCCUGCCCUGCCCUGCCCUGCCCUUUGAGUGGGCAGAAAAGAAAUCAGAAAACCCUGGGACUACUCCUGAGCCCAGUACGGCUCCCUUGGAGAAGCAGACAAAACAGGGCAGCCACAGCUGCCAGGAAAGUCCCAACAUACCAAGCCUAAGUCCUUUCCUCUGCAGUCUCACUGCUUACCCUGGUGAGACCAAGACUCUUGUUUUUUGAGGCAAGGUCUCUCUAUGUAGCUCAGGCUGGCCUAGGAACUAGCUGUGAUCUUCCUGCCUCAGCCUCCUGAUUGCUGAAAUUAUAGGAGGGCACCAUAGCACCCAGCCAGACCAGGACACGUGCUUUAGUUACCGUGGUCUCCCAAAUCCUACAUGCUUUAUGCCCCUGCCUUUGUACCUCCUGUCACAUCUAGAAUCUUUCCCCUGCUGGUCUACAAAACCAGUGCCUACCCAUUUGGCAGGUCUGGCUCAGCUCAACCCUUCUGCCAUAACUCAUAGUGCUGGAAGGAAGGACACCUCACCUCUGACAUUCUUUGAACCUUUAUGAAGUGCAGCCUCUGGCUUCCUGUGGAGAACAGACUUGCAAGGUCUGCUUGCAAGACCUCAGCCCAACACUAAAGGUCUGCUUCCCUUCCCUCGGCCAGGUGUGCCGCAGUUUGUAUCACUGAAAGCUCUAAAAGGUCUGCCGUCACUGCCCCAGGUGCUUUGAGGGGUGGACACAACUUCCCCAGCUCUGGGAGUAACAGGCAAGCUGCCACCUCUGCUGCUGCUGUCCAGGGAAGGAACUUGGUCCCCAGGGCCUCCAAGAUGGCUCCAAGAACCCCUCUGGACUCCAACAGUAAGAGGCCCCCUUGCUAUGGUUCUGUCCCACCUGAAAGUGGCAAAAAGGGUGGGUCGCCACCAACAGGUAAACCAAGGCUGACAGUCAACAACGCCCAACAGAGUGGGUGCUGGAGUCACCCUGUCCUGGGUGGACGGACACUGCAAAAAUCUCUUCCUCCUGGCAAUACUUAGCAAUAGAGAGGAAGAGUUAAGUGCAGAAAUGAUAUGUAAGUCUAAAUUUUACGAAAAUGACCAUUCUCCCAUAAGCUCAUUUCUUCCUAGGUCACCAAGGGGGGUGGGGAAUCUGUAUUAAUUUGAUCGAUUGAUCAAAUGAUCGAUUGAGAAACUGGAGAUGCCCAUUUACUGGGGGCAGUAAUGUCCUGGAACCUGAAACCACAAGAAAGGAGCCAUCAAUUUCCUCACCUGCUCCCAAACCGAACCAGAGACCAGGAAGAAAGGCAAGUCUGGGGCUCACGCUCACCAACAGGGAGGGCAGGCUCACGCUCACCAACAGGGAGGGCAGGGGCAGCAGCUUCCGGGGAGUUUUACACUGGAAUUAGUUACAGAUGCAGUUACGGUGUCUUGUGUAAACGCCAUCGAUUGGGGAGCUGACAGUCUGGGGAGCUGCGAUGCGGGACAAUCAAUCGGCCUGCAGUGUCACCUGCCACCUCGCUGAACAGUUGACAAUGCAAUUAUCCAGUGUGGAGGCAGGGAGUUGGCGUGUGUCAAACGCACUUAGCCACUUUCCGGGCCUCCUCAAUAACGCGUUUCACUGCCUCACGUCAGGAGAGACGCACAGAGACAGACGCCGUUUAAAACCAUUGAUACUUGCUCCUUCUGCCUGCGCGCCCUCUGUCCCAGCUUAACAAUUGUGUUCCAGAGGCGAUUAAAUCCAGUUCCUUGCCACAGGGGACGGAAGGCACCUUGCUCCUUGUACCUCAUCUCUCACCCCAGCUACCAGGCGACAGGCAUAACUGAAGGUUGUGGGGAACGAGAGGCUGCCACCCCUUACCUUCUUCUCUACCCCACGCUUGCCUCUAGUGGUGCGUUGUUCCAACAAGUCACUGACAGAACCAAGCUGCAGAGCUGCGUGGGGACAUCUUGGCACUGAGGUUCCUAUCUUUUGAGAACCAACACGCCAAAGGAAGCAGCAGUAGGGGUGAGGUCCACACACCUGAGCCUUUACCUCUCAGCCACUUGGCAUGUACUCUGGUGCUGAAGUCUCAUCAACAGCUCACUACAAGAGCAUCACCAAAGCUGCCUGCCUGCCGCUCUCUCCAUGAUCUCUCAUUCUAGGGUACUUCGGAACCACUCUAAUCUGAGACAGGAACUCGAGAAAGAUGCGGUCCCUAAACCAGGAUCUGGCAGAGCAGAAGCCCUGCAUAGCCGAAUGUCUUCGCAUUCUUCUCCUCCCCACUGCACCUAUGUCAAAGGGGCUUCUUGCUGGAUUUCAGCAGUGAAUUCACCUACGGUUUAAAAACAGAGCUGCAGACAUCUUACACUUCUUGUGCAGCCUCCUGGAAACCCCUCUACCUCACCACUCUCAUGCCCGUAAUAUUACUGCCACUUUAUUUGAAACCAGUCGUUCCCACAUCCUUUCUCCAGUCUGUCUCUUCCAGAUGUAAUAAGCUCUGGGUUCCCCAAGUCCAGCUGGGUGAGCUCCCACUGGGAACCAAAACAAGGGAAGCCUCACAGGUCUCUUCUGCAGGAGCAGUGGAGGUAGCAGGCAGAGAAAAGGCGUACCAUGACAUGUUCAUCACCUUUGUCCUUUGAUUGUGGGUAGGGACAGGUUUGGCUCCAGGGCAGGUUUCCUGCAGCAUGCUUUUCUAGCCUGGGAAAAGCCUGUUCUGCACAGGUUUAGCAGGGUGCCCCAGAAGACCAUCUUUUUCUCCUAUACUGCUGAUCUCUUUCAGGUGAAGGACUAGGUUUUGUGUGCUAACCUCUUUGCAAACAGCACUAGAGGUUAGAAACCUUUGGGUUCUGAAAGGAGAGUCAGCAGAUUAGGCAUGAAGCCUAGGGAUUUCUCCUAAAACUGUGGACAGGUUUCCUUUAUAACAAAAGCUUCUUCCAACUUAGUUCAUAAAAUUUUUACCUAUUUCCUUGGGUCUUUUAAAAAAUACCUACUUCCAGUUGAGCCUAACUUCCUCUUCUGUCUGGUCUUUCACACUGUCCUAAAAUACCAAUUCCAAGCACUUCUAGGCCUGAUGUCUGGGCCUCAUCCUCAGUAACCAUAGGUCUCUGACCUGAAGGCCCGUUGCCUCAGCCAAGUGUCUCCACCAAAACACUUGCUUACCCACCGCUUCCCACAGAAGGUCACAUUCAGGGCAACCCAUCUGACCCAUCAGAUGGGCUCUCCCAGUAGGCCUGCUGGGAAGCUUUUCUGAGGAUGAAGAACAGGUCCCAGUCCAGGACGAGGGACAGAGGAUGAUCGGAUACAACAACUUAUCUGCAGUUCUUCAAUCCUUUCAUAUCUAACAAGGACAGCAAUCUCUGUUC